AACAAAAUGUAUUGAAAGCAAUUUUAAUUGCUGAAUGUAUUCAGUAUGUAUUCAUAUUUACAGAGUCCCUGUUAUAUACAAAUUAUCCUAGGUACUAUGUUUAUACGUGGCACUACCCAAUAUGUGUAUCUAUAUCAAAUUUUGUCUUACUAUUUGUACAAUAUAAGAAAAUAAAAUAAACACCUGCAUAGUCUAGAAAGUUCCCCUGGAUGUAUCUGUUGCUUACAUUGCCAUUUUAAUGGCAUGAUUGUGAACCACGUGGCUUGAUCUCCUUCAAGGGCAAGGUUGAAAUUUCACAAACCAAAUACAUCAAAUUGGAUUUAGCUGAUUGUGUUCAAACGUAAAUAUCUUUGUACUUUGCCUGCUUACCUUCUCUUUCUUCUUUGACUAAGCCACAGAGUUCUUUCUAAAUCAAUAGGAGAAUUUCGAUUCCUUUCUAAAUCAAUACGAGAAUUCUGAUUACGAUUGUGCGCAACAUCUUCUACAGAUAGUGAUAACAAAUAUACCUGGUAUGAAUUAAAGAAAGGAGCUCUUCCUCUUUGUCUUCUUUUGAGAAAAAAUCCAAAGAAGAAGAAAUGGGUUCCAUCGUUGCGCCAUUUUUUCUGCUUCUUUUUGGGGAACAUCUUUUCUGCCUUCGACAUUUUGGAAGGGAGCCGAUGGAGCCAUUUCUAGGGGUAAGGUAUUUUGGGAUUUGAUGGAUCUGAAUUUUUAGGUUUCCUAAUUGUGUUUUUAUAUGUGGAAGGUAUGUAAUGGGUAAUGGGUAUUUGGUAGCGGUAUUGGAAUUGGGUUGUGAAAAUAGAAAAUAAUGCAUCUAAAAUCAGAAUACAAAUAAUUUACAAUUUAUCUACAAACUGAGUAUAUUAAAUUUUAAUAUCUUAAUUUUGUUAUAAAUAGACUUCUAUUUAAGGUGAAUGUCUAUAAUUAGCGAGAUUCUAGAGUUUUAUU
rnacentral:lncRNA from 1 species